UACGGGGGGGGCAAGCGUUGUUCGGAAUUACUGGGCGUAAAGGGCUCGUAGGUGGCCAACUAAGUCAGACGUGAAAUCCCUCAGCUUAACUGGGGAACUGCGUCUGAUACUGGAUGGCUUGAGUUUGGGAGAGGGAUGCGGAAUUCCAGGUGUAGCGGUGAAAUGCGUAGAGAUGGGGGAGAACACUCGUGGCGAAGGCGGCCAGCUAGACCAGUUCUGACACUGAGGCGCGACAGCGUGGGGAGCAAACAGG
rnacentral:rRNA from 1 species